GAACUUUUGCCAACCCACAAUCUGGAGGCUUUCAGGUCAUUUGAAGGACACAUCAUUUCUCACAACCCAUGAAAUGAUGUACAGCUGUUGUGAUCUGUGAAUACCUGUUGAAUCAUCCUGCUUGAAUAUUUGAGAAAGAAGGCCCUUUGCAACAGAGCGUGGAACUUUCGCCAACCCACAAUCUGGAGGCUUUGAGGUCAUUUGAAGGACACAUCAUUUCCCGCAACCCAUGGAAUGAUGUACAACUGUUGUGAUCUGUGAAUACUUGUUGAAUGAUCCUGCUUGCCUGUUUGAGAAAGAAGGCCCUUUGCAACAGAGCGUGGAACUUUCGCCAACCCACAAUCUGGAGGCUUUGAGGUCAUUUGAAGGACACAUCAUUUCCCGCAACCCAUGAAAUGAUGUGCAAAUGUUGUGAUCUGUGAAUACUUGUUGAAUCAUCCUGCUUGCCUGUUUGAGAAAGAAGGCCCUUUGCAACAGAGAGUGGAAUAUUUGCCAACCCACAAUCUGGAGGCUUUGAGGUCAUUUGAAGGACACAUCAUUUCCCGCAACCCAUGAAAUGAUGUACAACUGUUGUGAUCUGUGAAUAUUUGUUGAAUGAACCUGCUUGCCUGUUUGAGAAAGAAGGCCCUUUGCAACAGAGAGUGGAACUUUCGCCAACCCACAAUCUGGAGGCUUUGAGGUCAUUUGAAGGACACAUCAUUUCCCGCAACCCAUGAAAUGAUGUACAACUGUUGUGAUCUGUGAAUACUUGUUGAAUCAUCCUGCUUGCCUGUUUGAGAAAAAGGCCCUUUGCAACAGAGAGUGGAACUUUCGCCAACCCACAAUCUGGAGGCUUUGAGGUCAUUUGAAGGACACAUCAUUUCCCGCAACCCAUGAAAUGAUGUACAACUGUUGUGAUCUGUGAAUACUUGUUGAAUCAUCCUGCUUGCCUGUUUGAGAAAGAAGGCCCUUUGCAACAGAGAGUGGAACUUUCGCCAACCCACAAUCUGGAGGCUUUGAGGUCAUUUGAAGGACACAUCAUUUCCCGCAACCCAUGAAAUGAUGUACAACUGUUGUGAUCUGUGAAUACUUGUUGAAUGAUCCUGCUUGCUUGUUUGAGAAAGAAGGCCCUUUGCAACAGAGAGUGGAACUUUCGCCAACCCACAAUCUGGAGGCUUUGAGGUCAUUUGAAGGACACAUCAUUUCCCGCAACCCAUGAAAUGAUGUACAACUGUUGUGAUCUGUGAAUACUUGUUGAAUGAUCCUGCUUGCCUGUUUGAGAAAAAAGGCCCUUUGCAACAGAGAGUGGAACUUUCGCCAACCCACAAUCUGGAGGCUUUGAGGUCAUUUGAAGGACACAUCAUUUCCAGCAACCCAUGAAAUAAUGUUUAGCUGUUGUGAUCUGUGAAUACUUGUUGAAUCAUCCUGCUUGCCUGUUUGAGAAAAAAGGCCCUUUGCAACAGAGCGUGGAACUUUCGCCAACCCACAAUCUGAAGGCUUUGAGGUCAUUUGAAGGACACGUCAUUUCCUGCACCCCAUGGAAUGAUGUACAACUGUUGUGAUCUGUGAAUACUUGUUGAAUCAUCCUGCUUGCCUGUUUUAGAAAGAAGGCCCUUUGCAACAGAGAGUGGAACUUUCGCCAACCCACAAUCUGGAGGCUUUGAGGUCAUUUGAAGGACACAUCAUUUCCCGCAACCCAUGAAAUGAUGUACAACUGUUGUGAUCUGUGAAUACUUGUUGAAUGAUCCUGCUUGCCUGUUUGAGAUAGAAGGCCCUUUGCAACAGAGAGUGGAACUUUCGCCAACCCACAAUCUGGAGGCUUUGAGGUCAUUUGAAAGACACAUCAUUUCCCGCAACCCAUGAAAUGAUGUACAACUGUUGUGAUCUGUGAAUACUUGUUGAGUCAUCCUGCUUGCCUGUUUGAGAAAAAAGGCCCUUUGCAACAGAGAGUGGAACUUUCGCCAACCCACAAUCUGGAGGCUUUGAGGUCAUUUGAAGGACACAUCAUUUCCCGCAACCCAAGAAAUGAUGUACAACUGUUGUGAUCUGUGAAUACUUGUUGAAUCAUCCUGCUUGCCUGUUUGAGAAAAAAAGGCCCUUUGCAACAGAGAGUGGAACUUUCGCCAACCCACAAUCUGGAGGCUUUGAGGUCAUUUGAAGGACACAUCAUUUCCCGCAACCCAUGAAAUGAUGUACAACUGUUGUGAUCUGUGAAUACUUGUUGAAUCAUCCUGCUUGCCUGUUUGAGAAAGAAGGCCCUUUGCAACAGAGAGUGGAACUUUCGCCAACCCACAAUCUGGAGGCUUUGAGGUCAUUUGAAGGACACAUCAUUUCCUGCAACCCAUGAAAUGAUGUACAACUGUUGUGAUCUGUGAAUACUUGUUGAAUCAUCCUGCUUGUCUGUUUGAGAAAGAAGGCCCUUUGCAACAGAGAGUGGAACUUUCGCCAACCCACAAUCUGGAGGCUUUGAGGUCAUUUGAAGGACACAUCAUUUCCCGCAACCCAUGAAAUGAUGUACAACUGUUGUGAUCUGUGAAUACUUGUUGAAUCAUCCUGCUUGCCUGUUUGAGAUAGAAGGCACUUUGCAACAGAGAGUGGAACUUUCGCCAACCCACAAUCUGGAGGCUUUGAGGUCAUUUGAAGGACACAUCAUUUCCCGCAACCCAUGAAAUGAUGUACAACUGUUGUGAUCUGUGAAUAUUUGUUGAAUGAACCUGCUUGCCUGUUUGAG